GACGAACGCUGGCGGCGUGCUUAACACAUGCAAGUCGAACGAUGAACCAGGGCUUGCCCUGGGGAUUAGUGGCGAACGGGUGAGUAACACGUGGGCAACCUGCCCCAGACAUCGGGAUAACCAUUCGAAAGGAUGGCUAAUACCGAAUACGACCACUUUGGGCAUCCAACGGUGGUGGAAAGGAUUCUGGUCUGGGAUGGGCCCGCGGCCUAUCAGCUAGUUGGUGGGGUAAUGGCCUACCAAGGCGACGACGGGUAACCGGCCUGAGAGGGCGACCGGUCACACUGGGACUGAGACACGGCCCAGACUCCUACGGGAGGCAGCAGUGGGGAAUAUUGCGCAAUGGGCGAAAGCCUGACGCAGCGACGCCGCGUGAGGGACGAA
rnacentral:rRNA from 1 species